UACGGAGGAUGCAAGCGUUAUCCGGAUUCAUUGGGCUUAAAGGGUGCGUAGGUGGCUAUUUAAGUCAGUGGUGAAAUACAGCCGCUCAACGGUUGAGGUGCCAUUGAUACUGAUUAGCUUGAAAUAAUUGGAGGCUGCCGGAAUGGAUGGUGUAGCGGUGAAAUGCAUAGAUAUCAUCCAGAACACCGAUUGCGAAGGCAGGUGGCUACGAUUUAUUUGACACUGAGGCACGAAAGCAUGGGGAGCAAACAGG
rnacentral:rRNA from 1 species